GGGUUGUGAGGUUAAGCGACUAAGCGUACACGGUGGAUGCCCUGGCAGUCAGAGGCGAUGAAGGACGUGCUAAUCUGCGAUAAGCGUCGGUAAGGUGAUAUGAACCGUUAUAACCGGCGAUUUCCGAAUGGGGAAACCCAGUGUGUUUCGACACACUAUCAUUAACUGAAUCCAUAGGUUAAUGAGGCGAACCGGGGGAACUGAAACAUCUAAGUACCCCGAGGAAAAGAAAUCAACCGAGAUUCCCCCAGUAGCGGCGAGCGAACGGGGAGGAGCCCAGAGCCUGAAUCAGUGUGUGUGUUAGUGGAAGCGUCUGGAAAGGCGCGCGAUACAGGGUGACAGCCCCGUACACAAAAAUGCACAUACUGUGAGCUCGAUGAGUAGGGCGGGACACGUGGUAUCCUGUCUGAAUAUGGGGGGACCAUCCUCCAAGGCUAAAUACUCCUGACUGACCGAUAGUGAACCAGUACCGUGAGGGAAAGGCGAAAAGAACCCCGGCGAGGGGAGUGAAAAAGAACCUGAAACCGUGUACGUACAAGCAGUGGGAGCACAGAGCAAUCUGUGUGACUGCGUACCUUUUGUAUAAUGGGUCAGCGACUUAUAUUCUGUAGCAAGGUUAACCGAAUAGGGGAGCCGAAGGGAAACCGAGUCUUAACUGGGCGUUAAGUUGCAGGGUAUAGACCCGAAACCCGGUGAUCUAGCCAUGGGCAGGUUGAAGGUUGGGUAACACUAACUGGAGGACCGAACCGACUAAUGUUGAAAAAUUAGCGGAUGACUUGUGGCUGGGGGUGAAAGGCCAAUCAAACCGGGAGAUAGCUGGUUCUCCCCGAAAGCUAUUUAGGUAGCGCCUCGUGAACUCAUCUCCGGGGGUAGAGCACUGUUUCGGCAAGGGGGUCAUCCCGACUUACCAACCCGAUGCAAACUGCGAAUACCGGAGAAUGUUAUCACGGGAGACACACGGCGGGUGCUAACGUCCGUCGUGAAGAGGGAAACAACCCAGACCGCCAGCUAAGGUCCCAAAGUCAUGGUUAAGUGGGAAACGAUGUGGGAAGGCCCAGACAGCCAGGAUGUUGGCUUAGAAGCAGCCAUCAUUUAAAGAAAGCGUAAUAGCUCACUGGUCGAGUCGGCCUGCGCGGAAGAUGUAACGGGGCUAAACCAUGCACCGAAGCUGCGGCAGCGACACUGUGUGUUGUUGGGUAGGGGAGCGUUCUGUAAGCCUGUGAAGGUGUACUGUGAGGUAUGCUGGAGGUAUCAGAAGUGCGAAUGCUGACAUAAGUAACGAUAAAGCGGGUGAAAAGCCCGCUCGCCGGAAGACCAAGGGUUCCUGUCCAACGUUAAUCGGGGCAGGGUGAGUCGACCCCUAAGGCGAGGCCGAAAGGCGUAGUCGAUGGGAAACAGGUUAAUAUUCCUGUACUUGGUGUUACUGCGAAGGGGGGACGGAGAAGGCUAUGUUGGCCGGGCGACGGUUGUCCCGGUUUAAGCGUGUAGGCUGGUUUUCCAGGCAAAUCCGGAAAAUCAAGGCUGAGGCGUGAUGACGAGGCACUACGGUGCUGAAGCAACAAAUGCCCUGCUUCCAGGAAAAGCUUCUAAGCAUCAGGUAACAUCAAAUCGUACCCCAAACCGACACAGGUGGUCAGGUAGAGAAUACCAAGGCGCUUGAGAGAACUCGGGUGAAGGAACUAGGCAAAAUGGUGCCGUAACUUCGGGAGAAGGCACGCUGAUAUGUAGGUGAAGUCCCUCGCGGAUGGAGCUGAAAUCAGUCGAAGAUACCAGCUGGCUGCAACUGUUUAUUAAAAACACAGCACUGUGCAAACACGAAAGUGGACGUAUACGGUGUGACGCCUGCCCGGUGCCGGAAGGUUAAUUGAUGGGGUCAGCGCAAGCGAAGCUCUUGAUCGAAGCCCCGGUAAACGGCGGCCGUAACUAUAACGGUCCUAAGGUAGCGAAAUUCCUUGUCGGGUAAGUUCCGACCUGCACGAAUGGCGUAAUGAUGGCCAGGCUGUCUCCACCCGAGACUCAGUGAAAUUGAACUCGCUGUGAAGAUGCAGUGUACCCGCGGCAAGACGGAAAGACCCCGUGAACCUUUACUAUAGCUUGACACUGAACAUUGAGCCUUGAUGUGUAGGAUAGGUGGGAGGCUUUGAAGUGUGGACGCCAGUCUGCAUGGAGCCGACCUUGAAAUACCACCCUUUAAUGUUUGAUGUUCUAACGUGGACCCGUGAUCCGGGUUGCGGACAGUGUCUGGUGGGUAGUUUGACUGGGGCGGUCUCCUCCUAAAGAGUAACGGAGGAGCACGAAGGUUGGCUAAUCCUGGUCGGACAUCAGGAGGUUAGUGCAAUGGCAUAAGCCAGCUUGACUGCGAGCGUGACGGCGCGAGCAGGUGCGAAAGCAGGUCAUAGUGAUCCGGUGGUUCUGAAUGGAAGGGCCAUCGCUCAACGGAUAAAAGGUACUCCGGGGAUAACAGGCUGAUACCGCCCAAGAGUUCAUAUCGACGGCGGUGUUUGGCACCUCGAUGUCGGCUCAUCACAUCCUGGGGCUGAAGUAGGUCCCAAGGGUAUGGCUGUUCGCCAUUUAAAGUGGUACGCGAGCUGGGUUUAGAACGUCGUGAGACAGUUCGGUCCCUAUCUGCCGUGGGCGCUGGAGAACUGAGGGGGGCUGCUCCUAGUACGAGAGGACCGGAGUGGACGCAUCACUGGUGUUCGGGUUGUCAUGCCAAUGGCACUGCCCGGUAGCUAAAUGCGGAAGAGAUAAGUGCUGAAAGCAUCUAAGCACGAAACUUGCCCCGAGAUGAGUUCUCCCUGACCCUUUAAGGGUCCUGAAGGAACGUUGAAGACGACGACGUUGAUAGGCCGGGUGUGUAAGCGCAGCGAUGCGUUGAGCUAACCGGUACUAAUGAACCGUGAGGCUUAACCUUACAACGCCGAAGGUGUUU
rnacentral:rRNA from 1 species